AGUCAAAAAAGAAUUUAUUCAAACACAAUGUCAGGAUGAAGAGAAGGGAUAAAACAGGAUGGUAAGAUAUCUCCAACCAAUCACCUUAUGAGCCAGAAAGCUAGCUAAACACAAAGUUUCUGAAGAGGGAGCCCAGGACUACAACUGGCUAAAACCAGCUGGAGUCAAUGACAGGCCACAAGCGUUUAAGAAGCACCCAUGCUGAAUGAACCUCAUGCAUAUUAACUGAUACAACCCAAAGGUGAGAUUAGUCGCCAUCUUUGAACAUGGGAUGUAUGAUCAGGGAGGGGAGACAUAUUAAGAACUGUAUAUAGGGGGACUCAAAUGACCUGUGAAUUCUGAAAGGAAACUUCAGGAAGGAGGAGGAGGUGGGGUUAGGCAGGAUUACAAGGUAUACCUGGGGGCCUUCUACCUGAGUUGUGAGGGUAAAUUAUGGAGUUUUCACACCAGCUCCUGAAGGAGUGUAUUAAAAAGAUUAACUGCUUCACUUAUUCUGUGUCUAUUGAUUCACUGUGCCCUUCUGAGGAUUCAGAGUAUUAUUUCUCACAAUGUGAACCUAGAUUUUGCCGUCAGAAUUGAGGGGUGGUCCAUGAGAUGGUACUGCCUCUUAUACUCCCAGCUCAUUAGUGUGUUCUCAUCUCUAGAUGACUGGAAUGACAAGGGGCAAAUUUAUUUUUUAAAUGUUAAAAGAAAAGCCAUUUCCAAAAGUAAUCAAAUUUUGCCUCAUGAACUUUCAACAGCUGCUUAUUGGCCUGAACUUAAUUGUUUAUGGGAUUUCUGUAUACAUCUACUCUCCCUUUAAUGUGAGAAGUCCUUAUUCUAGCCUUAACCUUUGUUGAAAUGAGUUUUCAAGGAUUCACAUGACACUUUGGCUUAGAUGAGAUAUCAUCAGCGAUAAAUAACAUCACUUCAGCACCAAAGACCCUGGAAAGCUCUGCCAGGCUUGCUCUCUGAGAGACACCUACUCUGGUCACACUCACCGAGGCAUCAGAGGGACCCCGUGGGGACAUGGCAGCACAACCAUGGGCAGCUGCAUGGCUCAGUGGAUAGAGGGAUGGACCUGGAGUAAGGAAGGCUCAUCUUCAGGGAUGCAAAUCUGGCCUUGGAUAUGUAUUAGCUAUGAAAUCCUGGGCAAAUCACUUAACACUCUUUCCCUAGUUCCUUAUGGAUAAUAUAAGUUGGAGAAGGAAGUGGAAAACCACUGUAGAAUCUUUGUCCCCCCCCCUCAAAAAAAAAGCCAAAUGGGGUCACAUAGAUUCAGACACAACUGAAUGUCUGAUACAUGGUCACAUAAACCUAGACUCAUAUCUGUCAUUUGUCAUCCCUACAGACAUCAAUGUAUCCUGCAUCAUCAUCAAAGAAAAAUUUUAAAAAGUGCUCUGCAAAAAAGAAGUUCACUUUCCAGAACACCUCAUUCUUCUGACAUCUGCUGUGCUGUUAACAGAACAAUGAAAGGGUAUUCCAAGGAUCCUUCCUUCUUCCCAGCCUCAAAAGACAUCCCACGUAACAAACAGGUUUUUUUUUUUCCCCCCCUUGGAAAGGAAAAGAAAACUAAGCAGAACUGAUAAAUACUUUUUUGGAAAGGUGUGCAAGGUCUAACAUCUGUGGAUCUCUCAUCUUUUGGAUGAGGUAAGUUGAUAGCAUCAUCUGAUGUUUUCUUUUGUUCCAGAUUCUUUUAAUUUUUUGUUGUAUCAUUCUUUAACAUUUAAAUUGUCUUAGGCACUGUGUAUGUAUACUGUUUUCCUGGCUCUGCCUACUUCACUUUGUAUCAGAUCACAAAGAAUUUUCCAUACUUCCCUGUACUCACCUCUCCCAUAAUUUCUUAAAUCAUAGUAUUAUAUUAUCCAUGUUCCAUAACUUGUUUAGCAAUCAUUCCCCAGUUGAUGAGCAUCUACUUUGUUCCUAAUUCAUAACUGUCAGCAAAAGUACUCUUAAAAAUAUUUUGGAGUAUAUGAGACCUUUUUCUCUUAUCAAUGGCUUUCUUUUAUUAUGAAUGGCUUAUUAAUGGCCUUCCUAGUAAUGGAGCCCUUGUUUUAAAGACUAUAAAAGUUUUGUUAUUUUCCUUACAUAAUUCCAAAUUACUUUCCAAAAUGAUUGUGCUAUUUCUCAGAUCCACCCAUAAUGUAUUUGUGUCCCCAUCUUUUUAUAUCCCCUUCAAAUUUGACUUUCCAUUUCUUGUCAUUUUUGUUAUGCUGCAACAGAAAACAUGCAAAAAGUUUCUUUGUUAUGAAAGGUAGAUAGAGAACCAAUUCUUAUAUAUAAUCAUAAGAGAAAUUCCUUAACUAAUAGUCAAAGUAUAUGCACAAGUGAUUUUCAGAGCAAGAAAUCUAUGUAAUACAACAACAUAUGGAACAUCUUGAAAUUAUUAACAAUUAAGGGAAAUGUAAAUUAAAGCAACUUUAAGUUUACAAGUUUACAGUAUGAAUAAUAGGACAUCGCUACUGAAGAUAAGAAAAUCAAUUGUUAAGAGAGCUGCUUAUUGCCCUUUAAGAACUGAUGACAAAGAUAAAAAAAAUUUGUUGGAGGUACUGGAAAAAAAACAGGCCCACUAAUAAACAGAUUUUGCCACUGCUUCAGCAAUUUUGAAAAUCAAUAUAAAUUAUGUUUCAAAAGCAUUAAACUGAAUGUGCCUUCUGACCUACCAUGAGGGCUAUACUCCAAUAAGAUCAAAAAGAGGGAGAAGACUCAAGUGCACAAAAAUACUGUAACAGAUUUUUUUGUAAUAGUACUAAUAAAGUGAAGACCAAUGGGGUGCCCCCUCAAUUGGCAGAAUGCCUAAAUAAAUUAUUAUAUAUAAGUAUAAUGGAAUAUUAUUGCAACAUAAGAAAUGCCUGAAUAAAGAGUCUUGGACAAACCUGGAAAAACAAGUCCCAUUUACAAAAGUCUGGCAUGGGAAUCGAGUAUUAUGAGUGAGAAUGGUGAGCAAUAUUUGGAAGUUAUAAAGAGACUUAUUUAAGCAUGGAAUUAGGAAAAACUUCCUAAAAAAUGAGAAUUUUUUCCAAAGUGCAAUGGGAUACCUUGAAGUCAUAGGCUCCCUUUCCUUAAAGGGAAGCAAGGAAGUACUGGAAGACCAUUUCUCUGGGGGAAUUAUUCUGGAAAUUGCUUUUAUGUGUAGGUUGUUUUAGGUGGCUGUUAGUGUCCCUUAUCUCUGUCAAGUUUGGGGCAAAUUAUGUGAACAAAGACAGCUGAGCUCUCCCUGAGCACCUCUGAAGAUUUGUGUACAGUGCUGGCAAACUUUCAGUUAAUGCAACAAUCUCUUAGUUCCAAUGAUAGUAGUAAGAGGAGGCUGAGCACCUGCUACCUCAAAUAUUUCCCUUGAGGUGCUUAACUGCUUUAGUUGGCUUAGCUUGGCUGCCCCAGAAGGAGCAGGUGGUGGAGAUGGUUGACUGGCCCCCUAUUCAUAGGAAAUUCUCUUCCCAGUGCUGUCACUGCUGAGAUUGAAGCAGGACCAGGGCCUACAGAAAAAAAAAAUCAUAUCCAGCAAAAUUAUUCAUAAUAUUGAAUGAGAAAAAUGAACAUCCAAUUAAAUGCAGAUUUUCAGGACUUUCUAUCAACUAAACCCAAACAAUAGGAAAGUUAAAAUAGAAACAAUAGAAAAUUUAACAUAUAAGAGCCAAUAUCAAAGAUAAAUUUCAAGGAACUCAACAUGGACAAAUUAUUUUAUUUUAUUUUUAAGUGGGAAAUAUAAACCAUAUGUUUAAAAUUGACAUCACUAAUAUGGUAUCUCAAAAGAAAGAUUGGGGCACAGUUGAGGAAAAAAUAGUGAUGGGCACUAUGGUGGGCAAAUGAGAUGCCGAGGAAGAAUAGACACAGAGGUAUUCGAGGGGAGGAGGGGUGGCUCCAUUAAUGCCCACCUGUCAGCCCUUCCAAAUCAAUCUACCCUCCACCCACUGUCCAUCUCAUAGACUCAGCACCAUGGCUAUUUUUUAAUGACUUUUGGGGAAGAGUGAGCACUAUCUUUGUCCCAUACCUUGAUUAUUUAGAACUUAAUGAUGUCAUUGCUAAUUUUAUCAAGGCACUGGAAGAACUCACUCAGGUCAACUCUUAGUCCCUCGAAGAUCUGUAAAUGUCCCUUGAGUUUUUGGCCAGUGCAAUCCUAGACAACUGCACUGCUUUAGACUACCUCCUUGCCUUUAAAGGGGGUGUCUGUUCUCUGGCCAAUAAUGGCUAUCUUGUUUACACCAACACCUCCCACCAGGUUGAAUUACAGCUGAUCCACUUCUUAGGAGGCCAAUUGUGUGACUGAACUUCAUCAGAAGCUCCUUUCAAAGGGUUGGGGACAAGCUCCUGGGGAUCUACUGUCCUCUCUCGUGAUACUUUCCUAAUUGUUAUUUUGCUUUUGAUAUGUAGACAUUGCAUUUUAAUAAGAUUUGUGUCUUUCAGUCUCACCUCAAUCAUUUUUCACAUGGCCUUGCAGGAGGGAUAUCACUGCAUACCUCAGCCUCUGCAAGGGGCAGCUCACCUUUGCAUGCUGCUUGGGUGCAAUUCCCAUCCAUCUCUACUGUUAUCAGUCUGAAGCAGUUGUGGCAGAAGAGACCUCCAUCCCUAGCCCCAAAUAAAUUUGGGCCCUGUUCUUUGAGAGGGGAAUAAAUGUAUACCCUUUGCGAUGGUUAUAGUAACUGCCCCAGCCCAAUAAUCCUGUCACUUGUUCUCAGGAACUUCACUGGACCAAAGAGAUCCUUUACUUUUUCCAUGAAUAUCUAGCUGCUGCCCCAGCCCCAGAAUAAAAGGGAUUUUUACAUUUUUUUCAUGCAUACCAUACUCCAGUCACAGGGACAUUUCCCAUGCAUACCUUAUAUGAAAUUGUCCAAAGUUAUGCAGAAUGUCCUGAGAUCAUCCAAUUUCCCUGCUCUGCCCAAUACUCCUAUUUUUUUAAACUUACUUUUCUUUCUCUAUAUUAACUCUCACCUCACUCUACUGCUCUUUCUUAGGUAGGAAGCUGGUAGGGUGCAUCACCCCAUAACAAACAAAUGCCCAAAUAAAUGCCUUUGCUUGAGUUAGAGAUGGUUGAAUCUUCAGGGACACGACCACACCUCAGGCCCCAGCUCUCCAACAUCUUUGGCGUAGCCCCACUUUGAGUCCUUUCCCAUAAAAGAUCCCACCCUUGUGAAAUGUGAAUCCCUCUAAGAACUUUGCCUGCCUUCUGGCAUCAAUAAAGCUUUUUGCUCCUU